AUUGAACGCUGGCGGCAGGCCUAACACAUGCAAGUCGAGCGGAUGAAGGGAGCUUGCUCCUGGUUUCAGCGGCGGACGGGUGUGUAAUGCCUAGGAAUCUGCCUGGUAGUGGGGGAUAACGUCCGGAAACGGGCGCUAAUACCGCCUACGUCCUGAGGGAGAAAGUGGGGGAUCUUCGGACCUCACGCUAUCAGAUGAGCCUAGGUCGGAUUAGCUAGUUGGUGGGGUAAAGGCCUACCAAGGCGACGAUCCGUAACUGGUCUGAGAGGAGGAUCAGUCACACUGGAACGGAGACACGGACCAGACUCCUACGGGAGGCAGCAGUGGGGAAUAUUGGACAAUGGGCGAAAGCCUGAUCCAGCCAUGCCGCGUGUGUGAAGAAGGUCUUCGGAUUGUAAAGCACUUUAAGUUGGGAGGAAGGGCAGUAAGUUAAUACCUUGCUGUUUUGACGUUACCAACAGAAUAAGCACCGGCUAACUUCGUG
rnacentral:rRNA from 1 species